GACGAACGCUGGCGGCGUGCUUAACACAUGCAAGUCGAACGGAAAGGCCCUGCUUUUGUGGGGUGCUCGAGUGGCGAACGGGUGAGUAACACGUGAGUAACCUGCCCUUGACUUUGGGAUAACUUCAGGAAACUGGGGCUAAUACCGGAUAGGAGCUCCUGCUGCAUGGUGGGGGUUGGAAAGUUUCGGCGGUUGGGGAUGGACUCGCGGCUUAUCAGCUUGUUGGUGGGGUAGUGGCUUACAAAGGGUUUGACGGGUAGCCGGCCUGAGAGGGUGACCGGCCACAUUGGGACUGAGAUACGGCCCAGACUCCUACGGGAGGCAGCAGUGGGGAAUAUUGCACAAUGGGCGGAAGCCUGAUGCAGCAACGCCGCGUGCGGGAUGACGGCCUUCGGGUUGUAAACCGCUUUCGCCUGUGACGAAGCGUGAGUGACGGUAAUGGGUAAAGAAGCACCGGCUAACUACGUG
rnacentral:rRNA from 1 species